rnacentral:lncRNA from 1 species
AUACUCUCGGGGCAUAAUAGAACAAUAUAAUUAGCAUUUACUCUUUGUUCGAUAGAAUGAGAAAAAAUACUCGUUGCAAAUUUAUACUAUUAGGGCGCAACUGAGUAGUCUAAUAUUGUUCCUGUUUUGGUUCUUGUGAACGUUGACAUCGAUUCGUUCCAAAUUUAUAUAAUUAGGUGUCACGUCCCGAACCUUGCUACCAAUUUGGUCCGGUUUGGGCGCGUCGAACAGACGCCGAACAGACAGAACCUCCCCUGUCCGCCCAAGGCUCAAGCGACAAGAUCAUGUACAACAAGUUCCCAGGAAUACACUUGAAAACAUACACGAUCAAACAACAAAGGCG